AAAUUGAAGAGUUUGAUCAUGGCUCAGAUUGAACGCUGGCGGCAGGCCUAACACAUGCAAGUCGAACGGUAACAGGAAGCAGCUUGCUGCUUUGCUGACGAGUGGCGGACGGGUGAGUAAUGUCUGGGAAACUGCCUGAUGGAGGGGGAUAACUACGGGAAACGGUAGCUAAUACCGCAUAACGUCGCAAGACCAAAGAGGGGGACCUUCGGGCCUCUUGCCAUCGGAUGUGCCCAGAUGGGAUUAGCUUGUUGGUGGGGUAACGGCUCACCAAGGCGACGAUCCCUAGCUGGUCUGAGAGGAUGACCAGCCACACUGGAACUGAGACACGGUCCAGACUCCUACGGGAGGCAGCAGUGGGGAAUAUUGCACAAUGGGCGCAAGCCUGAUGCAGCCAUGCCGCGUGUAUGAAGAAGGCCUUCGGGUUGUAAAGUACUUUCAGCGGGGAGGAAGGGAGUAAAGUUAAUACCUUU
rnacentral:rRNA from 1 species